CUAGGAUCAGUCACCAGUAUCAUCCAACAGCUGGUGAUCAUACAGUCAUUGAAGGACACGCCCCCUCUGAAGGACGACAGCGUCAUCUUCAACUCUGAUAGGCUGGCCGUGGGCAAGGUAUUUGAGGUGUUUGGGCUGA